AGAGCGAAAACCUCUUUGCAUCCCAAGGUGUCCCAAUUAUCCUCUCUCAGAUUGAGAAUGAAUACGGGCCAGAAGGCAGGGAGUUUCGUCCCGCAGGUCAGGCAUAUAUCAACAAGGCAGCAAAGAUGGCAGUCGGAUUGGGUACUGGUGUGCCGUGGGUGAUGUGGAAGGAGGAGGAUGCACCUGAUCCAGUGAUCAAUGCAUGCAAUGGUUUCUACUGUGAUGCAUUUUCUCCUAACAAACCUUACAAGCCCACAAUGUGGACUGAAGCUUGGAGUGGCUAGUUCACGGAAUUUGUUGGGACCAUCCGCCAACGGCCGGUUGAAGAUCUUGCAUUUGCUCGAUUUGUACAAAAGGGUGGUUCUUUUAUCAAUUACUACAUGUACCAUGGAGGAACAAAUUUUGGGCGCACUGCUGGGGGUCCCUUCAUCACAACAAGCUAUGAUUAUGAUGCUCCAAUUGAUGAAUAUGGACUUUUUAGAGAACCAAAGCACAGUCAUCUUAAAGAACUCCACAGAGCUGUUAAGUUAUGCGAGCAGGCUUUGGUUUCUGUUGACCCAGCAAUUACUACCCUUGUACCAUGCAAGAGGCCCACGUCUUCCAAUCUCCAUCUGGUUGUGCAGCUUUCCUUGCAAACUACAAUUCUAACUCCUAUGCGAAUGUUGUAUUCAACAAUGAGCAAUACAGCCUACCACAUUGGUCGAUUAGCAUCCUUCCUGAUUGCAAAAAUGUUGUUUUUAACAGUGUCACAGUUGGUGUUCAGACAUCUCAGAUGCAAAUGUGUGGAGAUGAUGCCUCAUCAAUGACGUGGAAGAGGUAUGAUGAGGAGGUUUAUUCUCUGGCAGCUGCUCCAUUGCUCACCACGACUAGUUUGCUUGAGCAGCUUAAUGUCACGAGAGACAACAGUGAUUAUUUGUGGUACAUCACCAGUGUUGACAUAAGCUCAUCUGAAAACUUUCUACAAGGUGGCGGCAAGCCUCUGUCUCUCAGUGUGCAGUCUGCUGGUCAUGCCUUGCAUGUCUUUGUCAAUGGACAGCUUCAAGGUUCUGCAUAUGGUACUAGGGAAGAUUGAAGAAUCAAAUACAAUGGCAAUGCUAACCUUCGAGCCGGCACUAACAAAAUUUCCAUGCUAAGUGUUGCCUGUGGAUUGCCGAAUGUUGGAGUGCAUUAUGAGACGUGGAACACUGGUGUUGGUGGUCCUGUUGUGCUUCAUAGGCUGGAUGAAGGUUCACGAGACCUUACUUGGCAGACUUGGUCCUAUCAGGUCGCCCGAGUGCUACUUGUGCUACCGAGUGCUGCUGUGCAGCCUAUGCUACCUGGUGUGUGACUGCGUGGUGACUGCUUGGUGCUUGGCUGCUUGCUGCCGAGUGUAAGACGCCAGGACCAGGAGGCAGGACCGCCGGAGCAGCGAGUAGGAGCCAGGAGCCCAACCUAGGUCCAUGUGGCGAGCACAGAUGUGCAGAGAAGAUAGGCAGACAACAAAAUCUACCUUGUAGUUCAAGUAUACCCUUACCCAAACCCAAUACUUUGGGUACUUGAAAUUUCAGGUACCUAAAAUAUUCAGCUCAAGUUCGGUUUGACCUGUUAGAUACCUG